UUGAUGGCGACCGGCAUUGGCUGCGGAACACGUACACAACCUUCCUACAAGUGGGGAAUAGCCCAGAGAAAUUUGGAUUAAUACCCCGUAACAUAGCGAUGUGGCAUCACAUUGCUAUUAUAGCUUCGGCGCUUGUUGAUGGGUGUGCGUAUGAUUAGAUAGUUGGCGAGGUAACGGCUCACCAAGUCUACGAUCAUUAGCUGAUGUGAGAGCAUGAUCAGCCACACGGGCACUGAGACACGGGCCCGACUCCUACGGGAGGCAGCAGU
rnacentral:rRNA from 1 species